rnacentral:lncRNA from 1 species
UCAAAUGUAUCGAAAUGAUAUAUCAAGGAAAGUUGAAGAAUCCAAUCUUCAUUUUGUGGAGAUGUGCUAAUAACACAGACCCUCAUUGUGUAGCACUAAAAAAUACAAAAAUUCUUCAAGCACUAAACCUAGAGGUGAAACAAAUGCUGCAUUCUCCUAUAUACCAAAGAAGGAGGCUGUUCCAUCGGAGGCUUACUGCUUUGCAGCAUUUUUGGUCUGCUGUCUGA